GGGUUGCUAACUCAACGGUAGAGUACUCGGCUUUUAAU
rnacentral:tRNA from 7 species